rnacentral:lncRNA from 1 species
AACGUGACUUUCACUGGUCUCCGGACCUGAUCCUUAGAUAAUGUCCUCAGUACAGGGCCUUUAAUAAGUAGUGCAGGGAGAACAGAAGAGUUGUGAAGAAAUAUUAAACUUUAAAAUGCUUCAUAGCCACAGAGUAUUUUCUAAAAUUCCUAGAUUGUUUGUGAAGGCUUAUAUGAAAAUCAGCUGUUAUUAUGUAAAUAUGUCAGUUACUGUUAACCAAAUAUUACAAUGAUGCCUUAAGGAGCUGGUGCUCAAUCAAAAAUACCAUGUGGAACAGAGAACAAGGUGGGGCUGUGAAUUAAGUAUGUGGUUUUUGUGUUUAUAGAAUUGGCUGUCAAGAUGCUCCAUGGGGAGUUGUCUUCAUGGGAGUAUUUUGCCUAAGGGAUCAUACAUGCUUAAAGAUCAUAUGUGCUUAUAUUACUUUACAUUAGAUGGCAUAUAAGGGCUUGAUAUUAACGUGUCUGAUGUCCGAGGGACAAAUGAAAAAUAAAAUACACUCACAC